GACGAACGCUGGCGGCGUGCCUAAUACAUGCAAGUCGAACGCUUUUUCUUUCACCGGAGCUUGCUCCACCGAAAGAAAAAGAGUGGCGAACGGGUGAGUAACACGUGGGUAACCUGCCCAUCAGAAGGGGAUAACACUUGGAAACAGGUGCUAAUACCGUAUAACACUAUUUUCCGCAUGGAAGAAAGUUGAAAGGCGCUUUUGCGUCACUGAUGGAUGGACCCGCGGUGCAUUAGCUAGUUGGUGAGGUAACGGCUCACCAAGGCAACGAUGCAUAGCCGACCUGAGAGGGUGAUCGGCCACACUGGGACUGAGACACGGCCCAGACUCCUACGGGAGGCAGCAGUAGGGAAUCUUCGGCAAUGGACGAAAGUCUGACCGAGCAACGCCGCGUGAGUGAAGAAGGUUUUCGGAUCGUAAAACUCUGUUGUUAGA
rnacentral:rRNA from 1 species